UACGUAGGUGGCAAGCGUUGUCCGGAAUUAUUGGGCGUAAAGCGCGCGCAGGCGGUCCUUUAAGUCUGAUGUGAAAGCCCACGGCUCAACCGUGGAGGGUCAUUGGAAACUGGAGGACUUGAGUACAGAAGAGGAAAGCGGAAUUCCACGUGUAGCGGUGAAAUGCGUAGAGAUGUGGAGGAACACCCGUGGCGAAGGCGGCACUCUGGGCCGUAACUGACGCUGAGGAGCGAAAGCGUGGGGAGCGAACAGG
rnacentral:rRNA from 1 species